UUCAGCUCUACGCACGCUCUGAAGAAUGUCCCUGCUGACAAUGUUGCUCAGGCCACUGAAAAGGUGCAGGAAGGCACUUCUCCGCCAUGAUGCUGUACAGGAGAUCUGGGUGUCUCCAGCUUUGCACCCAUAUUAGUGCAGACUUCAAGCUGGUUUCCUGAAGAAGUUCCAGAUGGACCACAAGAUAUCCCAAACAUUCAAAAUCUUCAAACUCUUGCUGGAUGAGAUUCUCAGGAAGAAGAGAAAUGCCC